GAAGGGAUCUAGCUUCCAUUUGGAGCUUAAAAGGGAUUUUCUACACUUAGGUGAGAUUUAGCCAUCUUUUGCCUUUGGCCUUAUGGUUAAUGUUUGAUUUUCGGGUUGUUCGUUUCGUUGGGUAACCGCUCGUUUUGAUGCUUCUAGGGUACUAGGAGUCUUGUGGGGCACCUCCGUUCGGCGAAACGAAGGUUUUCGAUUUUGGUGGGUUUGGCCUCACCUAAGAUGAGAUAAACUUCUCAUAUGAGGUUUUAUUUAUCGUAAAGUGAAAACGCAUGUAUAUUCUUAUUGGAUAGAAUAUUUGAGAAUUUUAGAAUGCUUAAAUUGCACAUGUCAUAUACAAUGCAUAUUGGACCUCUAUAUAGUAGAGAGUCUUCAAUGUUGGCUAGGCCCUAUGGUUAGCAUUCUUACAUUUGAUUGAGAUCAUGUUGCAUAUGGUGCAUAUGGCAUAUAGAUUACACUCUGAGACUUAGAACGCAUGCUUGACAUGGUUGGACAAAUCGACAUUAAGUGACAUAGGCUAGAGUGUAUACAAAUAAAUAAGCUAAUGUCAUAAAGCGGCAUAGGCUUGAUGGAUAUGUAAAUUGCAUUACCUGUUAUUAUUAUGAGAAUUAUGCCAAGUUGAUAGUUGCAUUGGAUAGAAUAAGCUAACGUAACAAGAAGACAUAGAAGGUGAAAUGUGCUUAGAUUAUAGCAAGUUUAAGUGUCAUAAAAGAGGCACUAAACAUAGUGAAUUGGGAACUUCACCUUGAGAUUUGGACUUAGUAAAGCUAAGUCAUUGAUAUCGAAAUUAUUGAACGGUUUAAACCUUCACAUUUGAGACAUAGUACUAGACCUUUGGUUCUAGUGACUAUACCAUGUUAGAGACAUGAUGAUUGGGUACUUGAGGUUUUGACCAUGCUGCUUGCCAUUUUUGCUCAUUCGCACAUGCUUGUACGGUUGCUCCCUACAAGCCGGCACUUCCCGGAGUUAGCACUACGCGACAUAUGCUCCAGUCGUGCGUAUUAAAAAGCUUACGGGGUCGAGUGGGACAGACACAUUCCAAGAGCAGGAAUGUUGGGCUACCACAGGCACUUAGGCGGCACAACCGGACUACACCCGUGUAGAUCCUGAAUGAGAUUGAACCAGAAUAUUAAACAACAAGUUGAUAAUCACUACUAGACAGGUCAUAGUAGUUGGAUUCUUGACAUCCUACGGCAUAGGUUGGACAUUGAGAUUCAUAGGAUACUUGACGUAUCGCUUAUGGCAUCGUAGUGUACUUGGAUUGCCAGGAUAGUACAUACUGGAUAUGUAGUUGGCUUUGAGACAUAUUAUUAUACUUCAUAUAUUACUUGUUGCAUCAUAAGCAUAGCUUGUUUAAGUAUUGGCAUAUCUGGAUCAUGUAGAGUAAUGUACUCCAUGUUGACAUUCUUCAUACUUGUGGCAUAGUAGAGUAGCAUUUUAAUAUUAUGCUUAUUUACCGCAGUUAAUUUAUGUUAUCCUUAUCUGCUCUCUUUGGGGCUAGUGGUGCAGCUGGUGCAAGUCAGUAAUUGCCCACUGGGAACUAUAAAUUAUAGUUCUCAUGCCCCCCUAUUUUAUUUUUCUUUCAGAGCCUUCCACUCCGGGAGGGGCUCGGAUCGCGGGAAAGGUUUCUCCCUCGAGCUAGCUAUCGAGGAUUUGGCGAUAGGUGGUCCACCUCUCUUUUGCUUCUGUUGGAGAGUUGUGAGAGUUUGUACCUUAUUAUAGAGACCACCCUACUGUUGUAUCUGGAGACUUUAUGAUGUAUUAGUUUCUUUAUGUUCUAGUGGUUUAGUCUCUUUUUCUUUCCUUUUUAUUUCCGCUUGUUGGUAGAACCUAGCUAUAUACUUGCUCUGAUAUCUCUAGUUGUAAGAUUUUCUCUUGCUUUACUCUCCGCUUUUGUGUAGACGCCUUAUAUGUGUGACAUAUGGCGGUCUGGCGCGCGCACGCGGCGGCCUAUGCCGCAUCCCGGGGCGUGACACAAAUUAAUUUGGUAUCCAGAGCCUAGGUUGAGUCUUAUGGACCUAGCAAACCUUAGGCCGGUUGGACUAUAGGAAUUAACUCGUGAGAGACGAGGUCUAUUUGAUUUAUGAGCGAAAGUACAUGAUUGGGUUUCUUUGAUAACUCCAAAAUGUUGGAGUUGAAAUCGAAGUGUAUGGCUUCUAACUCGCGAGGGUUACGUUGGCGGCCGAACAACGUAACAUCAGGAGUUAAUAGUUGGGACACUUCUUUACUUUCGCAUGAUUUGGGGUGUUGUUAUUUGAGGCGGGCUUGCGAUAGCGGGGUUAUAUUAACUUGCGCUUUUAUGAUGUUGUAGUUUGAUGCCGGACUACACGCUCUAAGUCUGUUAGAGCGGACGAUGCGGCGACUUUUGAGGAAGCGGAGACAUCCGCUACCUCCGAUCCGGUGAGGUCUGAGUUGAGGAGCCAACUUUGCCGCCCUCACUGAUUUGGUGAUGCAGCAGGCGGCGGCCGGCUCAGCAGCAAGCGGACACGGCAUCGGACGGCAGGAGGCACGGAUGCAGCGCCCGGAGGAUCUUCUAUUACAGCAGGCAGCUGGCCAGAGAGGCUCAGGUCUCUGUACUACCCGUGCCAGUGGAGACAGUUGUGCCCGGGGGGUCGUCCCCUGCACUCGACACUUCGCAGACGACACUUACGGUAGCCCAUCGGGAGAGGUAUAUGGCACACCACCAGCUCAGGUGCCUUGUGGAAGCGGCGACUUUUCCCUUGAAUGGUUGAAAGAGCAGAGCGGCAGCGGCUCAUGGAUCGCCUCGAUGAGUUCAGAAGGUGCGAUCCCAGGAUCUUUGAUGGAGAGAAAGCGACCACUGAGUCGUUGAGGAAUGGUUGAUGGCAUAUGGAGAAGUUAUUCCGCCGAUACCUUCGGGAGGAGAGAGAUAAGAGUUUGGCUCGCCACUCACACCAUUUGGACAGCGAGGCUAUAGUUGGUGGUGGGUCAUCCAGGAUAAUCCCAACACCGACCUAGCAGCGAUUUCUUUGGAAAGAUUCAAGAGCUCUUAUUGGAGCAUUACUUUCAUCCGCGUGAAGAGAGAAAUGGAGCAGAAUCUGCGCUGAGAAUGUCGGCUCUGGGAAAAUGGAGCAGGAUCUGCGCGAGAUGCGCCAGGGGGAUCAGACUGUGGCCGAGUACGAGAGGGAGUUCUCUCAGCUUCUACACUAUGCGCCCUUUGUCGUGCGGGACGUCGAGGAUAAGGCUCGCAUCUUCGAGCGAGGACUUCGGCCGUCGAUCUUACGGUUGGUGCAACCCUCCCACCUUCAGACUUACCAAGAUGUGGUGAACCGCGCUCUCAUUGUGGAAAGCUGCGCGGCAGACUUGCAGGAGCGUCGAAAAGGCUCGAACAAAGGACAGGACAGGAGGCCCGCGACUGAGGGUGCGAGUCAGACGCACUCUGGGAGGCCGCCGAAACAUUCCAGGAACCGGAGCCAAUCGCGAGGACGUGGCUCAUCAGCACGGCAUAGAGGAUCCGAGCGUCGUCAGACAUUGAGCUGUGUGAUCUGCGGUGGUCAUCAUUACCCGCAGCAGUGCUCUCAGAGGCAGGGCAGGUGCUACUCGUGUGGCCAGGAGGGUCACUUUCAGUCAGACUGUCCGAGAGGUUUAGUAUCAGCGCCAUCUUCAGCAUCGGUACCAGUAUUACCGGAUCCCAGCCAAGGGAUGCCUUUUACUUACUAUCAGGACGGGAGGCCACCCGUCCGGAGACAGACGGAGGGGUCACGACGGGCCCCGGGCGGGCGCAAGUACGCGGCCCAGACGGAGGAGGCGGCAGCAGCUGAGUUUGUGACUACAGGUAUCAGUCUUAUUUGUGGCAUUCGAGUUGUGCAUUGUUGGUUACUGGAGCAUUGCAUCUAUGAUCGGCUAUUCGCCGAGUUGCAUGGCAUUUCGUUAGUUCGCUGUUUGCGACAUUAUGUAGCCCCUCGAGCUAGGCGAUUGAUUUGCGGGUUGCGGGUAGCAUAUUUCGCUAUGGUCGUAGAUCUCACGAGGAUUGCAUUAGUUGUAUCCCUGGCUCGGCUGUUUGCUGGAUGGUGCUUGGAGACGACCGUGCCUGGACCAUUUGGGGACUGUGGAGCCUGGGCCCGUUGGGCAGGCGCAGUCGGCUGUGUGUGUCAGCGGCCCGGUACCUGCGGGUAGGGCAGAGUUUUGGUCAGGAUGGUAGUCCGAGCGUGGACCCUGGAGCGUGGAAAGCCACGCGUUGGAUCGUGAGAUCGAGGACACACUGAGUGUGUAGUUACCCAACCCGAGGAAUGUAAGCAUUGAACCUUUCGGCGCGUGUGGAUGAUCGGUUGAUCGGGUGUGUCGUUUCGAACACCCUACCCUGUGAGAUGGUUCUGUGUGCCAACAAAUAGAUUGGCCUUCCUUGGUGUGGAGUUGUUGUAGGUACCUGGUACCCUUGGAUUGCGAGCUGACUUGACUCGCCUUGAGGACUGUGAGCACGAAAUAGUGCGAUUUGAGGACUCACUUCUGCUUGAUGCGUUGAUUGUCUCCCUUACCUAAAAUUGGGUAAGUGUUGGAGAGGGUUUGGGGCCUGAGUGGCCAUUAGCUUUGGGUGAUUAAGAAUCCUUGAAAUGAAGGAUGCCUUCGAUCCGUCGUUGUGCCCCCGAUCGAAUCACAAUCAUGAGCUCGAUUGGCGGGGUGGUUUUAUAGUUGGUGUUUUGCUUCGUGGAGGAGCACUCUCACUUGUUGUGGGACCGGUUGGGCCGUUUCGACUGUAGGUCGACUCUCAUGAUUCAAAUUGAACCACGAUUGGAGGUUUAGACCGUAGCUGAGGCCCAUUGACCUUGUCAGAUGGCGUUGAGUUGUUGGUGUACUCGUUAAGAUUGUGAGUAAUCUGAGUAGUACUGUUGACGUUGGAGUUUGAGGUCGUACCUCAAAUGGAUUGUGAUGCUAGGUGGGGACAUCACGAGGAUGAUGCUGCCUAAGCCUAUAGUACUCAACCUGUGGAGGGGUUUGCGGAAUGAUAAUCCCAAGCCCUCUGGAUGGAAUUGUGGAACCAGUCGCUGAUGACUAGGGGUAUUUUUAUAGGAUGUAUGAGGUUGGACUGCGUUGGCAGGUUUGGAGUGAUCGAGUUGUGGAACUCUCACUAACGGAUGGAAAGCUCGUGAGAAGGAGGGUACCAAGUUACGAAUUUCCCGUGACAGGAGCGUGUACAAGGAUUUGAGUCCUUCAGGAUUGAACUACGUAUGAGGACUUAUGGGAUUGACUUUGACUUAACAGUCGCAUCAGGAUGACUUUGAUAGAGAGCUGUUACUGAACGGUGGAUUGAUCCAUCUCUAUCGCAAGAAUCGAGUUUGGGGACCUUGGACACUUGGAGCAUCCAAUGCUAGGGAAAGCAUUGAGAUCGGAAAUUUCUAAGUGAUUGUGUUGUGAGCCUUCUGUCGAAGCUAGGCCCUUGGCCUAGGCUUGCGAGAGUUUACUUGGACUUGAGUUGGGACUAAGAUGAUGAUCUUAGUAGACUGAUGAAGCCUUUGAGCUUAGUCCCCGACCAUAUAUUGCAAUGGAAUUGAGGGUACUCCCGAGUGGUGAAUUUGAGAUCGAUGUGGAGACAUCACAGCGCCGUGCCGAUUGAGGAAUCAACUAAUCGCCAUGAUGGGCGAGUUUGGACGAUCUGUCGAUUUCUGUUACUAUUGGAAGAAUGGCUAUCUUGAAUGUUGAAUCGGAACCGUUCGUGCCAAGCAAGAUUGGACAGUGUGACGGACGUUGCUAAUAGAAUGGGAUUGAAAGGUUACACCGUAACUAACCUUGGAUUGGAUUACACUCAGUUAUGUUAUCUCAAGAAGAGACUUGAUCUUAGAUCUGAAGGAUCAUCGUUGGAAUAAGAGCCUACAAGUGGACUGUGCAUCACCUUCCCUUGGUGAGUGUCGAUCGGGUGAGCACUCCGAUGGAGUUGUGGUAGUUCGGUGGCGGAUGUACCCCCUCCCCUGAUGCUUGCUUUGGACAAUACCCUUGAGUCAAGGCACCGCCUUGGGAGGGUAUUCGAUGGAACUUCUGGUACAAGAGUGAUUGAUAUAAGCUAGGUUUUACCCUCGACUGGGACAAGGAAGGUGGAAACUGGAAUUCAGCUUUUGGGAGCACUAGCGUUCAUGAGAGCCGAUUGAAGGACUUGUUGAUCAAGCGCGGAUAAGGGAUGGACCUUGCUGGGGAGGCUGGAGUCCGAGGAACUUCAGAGAGAGUUUGAUUUGAGCUAUGCCAAGUCUUGGCAUCGUGGGGUCUGGUUGUUUUUGCCAUGGAGCUUUCCGGCAUGUUCGAGACCUUCGUUGUCUAGCUUGUACGCUGUUAGAGCGUUUCUCUAUCCUCUUUUGAUGAGUCUGUGUUGUGGUUGAUCCGCAGUUUAGCGGACGAAACUCCUUUUUAGGAGGGGUGAAUGUAACACACUGGACCUUUGCAAAUUGUGAGGUUCGAGUGUCUGAGUUGUGUUCUGAGCAUUUCUAGAUUUUCUGGUAGGUCGUUGACAGUGUUCCGACCCAUUGCUCGCAUCCCGAGAUUUGAGGUAUUUAAAGUAGCCCUAAGGUCAUCAAAAAGUUGGACUUAGGUUGCUCUCGGAUUGCUGUUUUCAGGGCUGUGUACCGGUACAAUCUGAUGGCUGUACCGGUACAGGGUUGAUGGUUGUACCGGUACAGCCACCGGGCUUGUACCGGUACAGAGCCGUUGAACCCCCAACCCGAGCCUCGGGUUCUGAUGUUUCGUAGGGCUUGUACCGGUACAGGGGCCCGUGUACCGGUACAAGGUGGCAGAUUUUGAGCAGUUCGAACUGCAGGGGUGUUUUUGCUAUUGUAGCAUCUCUAUAAUACCACCCACGCACCUUUGCUGAUCUCCUGAGCUGGGAAACACAGGAGGACAAGGUAGGGAGCCCUUCUCUUCUUCCCUUUUGAUUUCCCUCUCUUUUUGCUUGGAUUUUGAUGGUUAUCCCCUCUUUUUGCUUUUGGUGACUUUUCCACCAUGGGAGAAGCUUGGGAGCUUGGAGUUGAGCUUGUUGGAGGUGAGAUCUUCGAUCCUUGGGGAUUGUGAACCUUGUUUGAGGCUUCUUGAGAGGUUAGUUGCUUACUAUUUCCCUUUCUAUCAUGAAUUUCAUGAAUUUUGUUUAGAAACCCUAGAAAUGAGGAUUUAGGGUUUGUUUUGGGGAUUUUUGAUCUAGGGCUUUCGGAGCUCAAUCGAUCGGUUUAGAACCUUCCCUUGGGUUGGUUUGGAAGGGAUCUAGCUUCCACUUGGAGCUUAAAAGGGAUUUUCUACACUUAGGUGAGAUUUUAGCCCUUUUUGCCUUGAUGGUUAAUGUUUGAGUUUCGGGUUGUUCGUUUCGUUUGGGUAACCCUCGUUUUGAUGCUUCUAGGGUACUAGGAGUCUUGUGGGCACCUCCGUUCGGCGAAACGAAGGUUUCGAUUUUGGUGGGUUUGGCCUCACCUAGAUGAGAUAAACUUCUCAUAUGAGGGUUUUUAUUUAUCGUAAAGUGAAAACGCAUGCAUAUUCUUAUUGGAUAGAAUAUUUGAGAAUUUUAGAAUGCUUAAAUUGCACAUGUCAUAUACAAUGCAUAUUUGACCUCUAUAUAGUAGAGAGUCUUCAUGUUGGGCUAGGGGCCUAUGGUUAGCAUUCUUACAUUUGAUUG
rnacentral:lncRNA from 1 species